rnacentral:rRNA from 1 species
GAUGAACGCUAGCUACAGGCUUAACACAUGCAAGUCGCGGGGCAGCAUGGGGGUUGCUUGCAAUCCCCGAUGGCGACCGGCGCACGGGUGAGUAACGCGUAUCCGACCUGCCCUUCACCACGGGAUAACCCGGCGAAAGUCGGACUAAUACCGUAUGUUGUCCAUUGACGGCAUCCGAUUUGGACGAAAGGCUUGGCGGUGAGGGAUGGGGAUGCGUCCGAUUAGCCAGACGGCGGGGUAACGGCCCACCGUGGCUACGAUCGGUAGGGGUUCUGAGAGGAAGGUCCCCCACACUGGAACUGAGACACGGUCCAGACUCCUACGGGAGGCAGCAGUGAGGAAUAUUGGUCAAUGGGCGCAAGCCUGAACCAGCCAAGUAGCGUGCAGGAUGACGGCCCUAUGGGUUGUAAACUGCUUUUAUGCGGGGAUAAAGUGGCCCACGUGUGGGCUUUUGCAGGUACCGCAUGAAUAAGGACCGGCUAAUUCCGUG